ACUCAAAUGAAUUGACGGGGGCUCACACAAGCGGUGGAGGAUGUGGCUUAAUUCGAGGCUACGCGAAGAACCUUAUCCUAGUCUUGACAUGGCAUGUUCAGUCGGUGAAAGCCGAUGGCCCGCAAGGGCGAAUGCCACAGGUGCUGCAUGGCUGUCGUCAGCUCGUGCUGUGAAGUGUCGGGUUAAGUCCCUUAACGAGCGAAACCCUUGUCACUAGUUGCCAGCGGAUCAUGCCGGGGACUCUAGUGAGACCGCCGGCGUUAAGCCGGAGGAAGGCGGGGAUGACGUCAAGUCCUCAUGGCCUUUAUGUCUAGGGCUGCACACGUCCUACAAUGGCGCGCACAAAGGGACGCGAACUCGCGAGAGCAAGCAAAUCCCAAAAAACGCGCCCCAGUUCGGAUUGCAGGCUGCAACUCGCCUGCAUGAAGCCGGAAUCGCUAGUAAUCGCGGGUCAGCAUACCGCGGUGAAUGUGUUCCUGAGCCUUGUACACACCGCCCGU
rnacentral:rRNA from 1 species